ACGAACGCUGGCGGCAGGCCUAACACAUGCAAGUCGAACGCUCGUAGCAAUACGGGAGUGGCGCACGGGUGAGUAACGCGUGGGCACCUACCCGGUGGUACGGAAUAACCGCGGGAAACUGCGGCUAAUACCGUAUAAGCCCCUAGGGGGAAAGAUUUAUCGCCAUCGGAUGGGCCCGCGUAGGAUUAGCUAGUUGGUGAGGUAACGGCUCACCAAGGCGACGAUCCUUAGCUGGUCUGAGAGGAUGAUCAGCCACACUGGGACUGAGACACGGCCCAGACUCCUACGGGAGGCAGCAGUGGGGAAUAUUGGACAAUGGGCGCAAGCCUGAUCCAGCCAUGCCGCGUGAGUGAAGAAGGCCUUCGGGUUGUAAAGCUCUUUUGGCGGGGACGAUGAUGACGGUACCCGCAGAAUAAGCCCCGGCUAACUUCGU
rnacentral:rRNA from 1 species